rnacentral:rRNA from 1 species
GUAUCCUACGGGGCGCAGCAGUGGGGAAUAUUGCACAAUGGGCGAAAGCCUGAUGCAGCAACGCCGCGUGAAGGAAGAAGGGUUUCGGCUCGUAAACUUCUAUCAACAGGGACGAAAGAAAUGACGGUACCUGAAUAAGAAGCCCCGGCUAACUACGUGCCAGCAGCCGCGGUAAUACGUAGGGGGCAAGCGUUAUCCGGAAUCAUUGGGCGUAAAGAGUUCGUAGGCGGUAUGUUAAGUCUGGUGUUAAAUGCAGAAGCUCAACUUCUGUUCGGCACUGGAUACUGGCAAACUAGAAUGCGGUG